AUGCGGACAAGACGAACCCUUGUAACAACAACGAUAAGGACAUGCUACAACCCGGUAAAGGGGAACGGCAGGCAGAAGCAGUACCCACUACAAACAAAGGAUGUAAAUAAGAUUUAUCCAUCUCACACCUCCAAGAAAGAUCGAAAGCGUGCUGUCCACGAGGUAUAUUCCGUGGAGUCCUUUGAGCCAAAAUACAAUCCUUGGUUGAAAAUCCUGAUCACAUGUAUUUGUCAUGACCACCAGACUAUCGUCCACCAUGGCGGUUUGCCCGCACUUGUCUUGGACCCGAUAUUCAACAGUUUCCACCUCAUCGAGCUUGAACCUCAGCUACGUCGAUACACUGAGAAAGAUGCACUUCGACAAGUCAUGUAUCGAGCUGGUGAAAACCAAGUUCAAGGGUAUUAUAUAUCACGGGCAUGA
rnacentral:rRNA from 1 species